GAACCUGAUGCAGCCAUGCCGCGUGUGUGAAGAAGGCCUUCGGGUUGUAAAGCACUUUCAGUUGUGAGGAAAAGUUAGUAGUUAAUACCUGCUAGCCGUGACGUUAACAACAGAAGAAGCACCGGCUAACUCCGUGCCAGCAGCCGCGGUAAUACGGAGGGUGCGAGCGUUAAUCGGAAUUACUGGGCGUAAAGCGCACGCAGGCGGUUUGUUAAGCUAGAUGUGAAAGCCCCGGGCUCAACCUGGGAUGGUCAUUUAGAACUGGCAGACUAGAGUCUUGGAGAGGGGAGUGGAAUUCCAGGUGUAGCGGUGAAAUGCGUAGAUAUCUGGAGGAACAUCAGUGGCGAAGGCGACUCCCUGGCCAAAGACUGACGCUCAUGUGCGAAAGUGUGGGUAGCGAACAGGAUUAGAUACCCUGGUAGUCCACACCGUAAACGCUGUCUACUAGCUGUGUGUGUCUUUAAGACGUGCGUAGCGAAGCUAACGCGCUAAGUAGACCGCCUGGGGAGUACGGCCGCAAGGUUAAAACUCAAAUG
rnacentral:rRNA from 1 species